rnacentral:rRNA from 1 species
UCGAGAAUUUUUCUCAAUGGGCGAAAGCCUGAAGGAGCGACGCCGCGUGGGGGAUGAAGGGCUUCGGCUCGUAAACCCCUGUCAUUUGCGAACAAACCUUGCGAUUUAACAGAUCGUGAGCUGAUUGUAGCGAAAGAGGAAGGGACGGCUAACUCUGUGCCAGCAGCCGCGGUAAUACAGAGGUCCCAAGCGUUGUUCGGAUUCACUGGGCGUAAAGGGUGCGUAGGUGGCAGGGUAAGUUUGAUGUGAAAUCUCCGGGCUUAACCCGGAAACUGCAUUGAAUACUAUCCUGCUCGAGGGUUGGAGGGGGGACUGGAAUACUUGGUGUAGCAGUGAAAUGCGUAGAUAUCAAGUGGAACACCAGUGGCGAAGGCGAGUCCCUGGACAACUCCUGACACUGAGGCACGAAAGCUAGGGGAGCAAACAGGAUUAGAUACCCGCGUAGUCC